CGUGACGGCGCGAGCAGGUGCGAAAGCAGGUCAUAGUGAUCCGGUGGUUCUGAAUGGAAGGGCCAUCGCUCAACGGAUAAAAGGUACUCCGGGGAUAACAGGCUGAUACCGCCCAAGAGUUCAUAUCGACGGCGGUGUUUGGCACCUCGAUGUCGGCUCAUCACAUCCUGGGGCUGAAGUAGGUCCCAAGGGUAUGGCUGUUCGCCAUUUAAAGUGGUACGCGAGCUGGGUUUAGAACGUCGUGAGACAGUUCGGUCCCUAUCUGCCGUGGGCGCUGGAGAACUGAGGGGGGCUGCUCCUAGUACGAGAGGACCGGAGUGGACGCAUCACUGGUGUUCGGGUUGUCAUGCCAAUGGCACUGCCCGGUAGCUAAAUGCGGAAGAGAUAAGUGCUGAAAGCAUCUAAGCACGAAACUUGCCCCG
rnacentral:rRNA from 1 species